GGCUGCCUUCUCGACUACCAACAGUCUGUGGUUCCUCAUGGAUUUGCAGUCUUCAUAUCCAAAGAGCUAGAAGUGCCUCGGCCGCAAAUAUGGGCAAGUGCGGAGCUGUUUACGGGCGCUUUCACUGUUCCACAAUGGAAAAUACCCGACACGUUUGAUGGAGCAUCUGCAGCAUUUCUUAAGAGUAUAUGCAUCACCCCAGCGGAGGCGCAGGACCUAGAAAGGACGUCUAGGAGGCAACGAAACAGCCUAACAUGGCAUCAAGGACGCCUUCACCGCCUUACUGCAUCCAACUUCGGUUUGGUCCUGAACCGGAAGAAGUGGACAAAAAAAGGCUUGAUUAACCUGACGACUCCGAAGGACCUGUCACGCGUUCAGCCCGUCAGGUACGGCAUAGCCAACGAGAAAGACGCCCUCCUGAGGUACAAGGAUACCUUGACAACUGCGGGACAUCCUGUUGAAGUAUUCAACUGUGGCCUUUUUGUCGACCCGUCCAGGCCAUGGCUUGGAGCAUCGCCUGACGCCCUAACCUUUGACCCUUGUGAACCUUUUCCAUGGGGUACAGUAGAGGUGAAAUGCCCAUAC